GCUCAACCGGGGAGGGUCAUUGGAAACUGGGGAACUUGAGUGCAGAAGAGGAGAGUGGAAUUCCACGUGUAGCGGUGAAAUGCGUAGAGAUGUGGAGGAACACCGGUGGCGAAGGCGACUCUCUGGUCUGUAACUGACGCUGAGGCGCGAAAGCGUGGGGAGCGAACAGGAUUAGAUACCCUGGUAGUCCACGCCGUAAACGAUGAGUGCUAAGUGUUAGAGGGUUUCCGCCCUUUAGUGCUGCAGCAAACGCAUUAAGCACUCCGCCUGGGGAGUACGGUCGCAAGACUGAAACUCAAAGGAAUUGACGGGGGCCCGCACAAGCGGUGGAGCAUGUGGUUUAAUUCGAAGCAACGCGAAGAACCUUACCAGGUCUUGACAUCCUCUGACAACCCUAGAGAUAGGGCUUCCCCUUCGGGGGCAGAGUGACAGGUGGUGCAUGGUUGUCGUCAGCUCGUGUCGUGAGAUGUUGGGUUAAGUCCCGCAACGAGCGCAACCCUUGAUCUUAGUUGCCAGCAUUCAGUUGGGCACUCUAAGGUGACUGCCGGUGACAAACCGGAGGAAGGUGGGGAUGACGUCAAAUCAUCAUGCCCCUUAUGACCUGGGCUACACACGUGCUACAAUGGGCAGAACAAAG
rnacentral:rRNA from 1 species